GACGAACGCUGGCGGCGUGCUUAACACAUGCAAGUCGAGCGGAGCGGCGAACGGGUGAGUAACGCGUGAGUAACUGCCCCCCUCUCUGGGAUAACAGUUGGAAACGGCUGCUAAUACCGGAUAGUGGGGGAUGGCUCGCGUCCUAUCAGCUUGUUGGUGGGGUGGUGGCCUACAAAGGCGACGACGGGUAGCCGGCCUGGGAGGGCGACCGGCCACAUUGGGGUGAGAGACGGCCCGAACUCCUACGGGAGGCAGCAGUGGGGGAUAGUGCACAAUGGGCGAAAGCCUUAUGCAGCGACGCCGCGUGGGGGAUGAAGGCUUUCGGGUUGUAAACCUCUUUCGCUAUCGAAAGGGUAGGUGGAGAAGAAGCGCCGGCUAACUACGUGCCAGCCGCCGCGGUAAUUC
rnacentral:rRNA from 1 species